UACAUCACCCAAAGGAAACCAGGAAC
rnacentral:piRNA from 1 species